AAGUCGAGCGAACAGACGAGGAGCUUGCUCCUCUGACGUUAGCGGCGGACGGGUGAGUAACACGUGGAUAACCUACCUAUAAGACUGGGAUAACUUCGGGAAACCGGAGCUAAUACCGGAUAAUAUAUUGAACCGCAUGGUUCAAUAGUGAAAGACGGUUUUGCUGUCACUUAUAGAUGGAUCCGCGCCGCAUUAGCUAGUUGGUAAGGUAACGGCUUACCAAGGCAACGAUGCGUAGCCGACCUGAGAGGGUGAUCGGCCACACUGGAACUGAGACACGGUCCAGACUCCUACGGGAGGCAGCAGUAGGGAAUCUUCCGCAAUGGGCGAAAGCCUGACGGAGCAACGCCGCGUGAGUGAUGAAGGUCUUCGGAUCGUAAAACUCUGUUAUUAGGGAAGAACAAAUGUGUAAGUAACUAUGCACGUCUUGACGGUACCUAAUCAGAAAGCCACGGCUAACUACGUGCCAGCAGCCGCGGUAAUACGUAGGUGGCAAGCGUUAUCCGGAAUUAUUGGGCGUAAAGCGCGCGUAGGCGGUUUUUUAAGUCUGAUGUGAAAGCCCACGGCUCAACCGUGGAGGGUCAUUGGAAACUGGAAAACUUGAGUGCAGAAGAGGAAAGUGGAAUUCCAUGUGUAGCGGUGAAAUGCGCAGAGAUAUGGAGGAACACCAGUGGCGAAGGCGACUUUCUGGUCUGUAACUGACGCUGAUGUGCGAAAGCGUGGGGAUCAAACAGGAUUAG
rnacentral:rRNA from 1 species